GACAGUGAAAAGAGCAGAUAAAUGAGAUUCCUUAACAACCCAAGUUGUCAUGAAAAUACUCAAGCUAACUUCCCAUUAAAAAGAAAUAUAAUGAGGCCUGCUUCUAGUGGCUAAUAUCCUCUUCCAACCAACAGGAAAAAGAAAAUCUACAGAAAUCUUUGCUGCUUAAGCAGUUCUCAAUGGCCUGUAAAAGGAUCCUGGCCUCCUAACCCAGCCUUCAGCCCCAUCUCUAUUCUCCAGUUUUUCUCUCCAAUAUCAAUUCUAGAAGUAAGAACUUUACAGUUUGGUGGAGUCCAGCUCCAGCGAGUCCAGGAGUCCCUGAAGGAAGAAUGGCGUCGGCGACUGACUGAAUGAGUAAGG